GACGAAGGAUGCAAGCGUUAUCCGGAUUCACUGGGUUUAAAGGGAGCGUAGGUGGCCUUAUAAGUCAGUGGUGAAAUCUCUGGGCUUAACCCAGAAAUUGCCAUUGAUACUGUAGGGCUUGAGUAUAGAUGCCGUUGGCGGAAUAUGACAUGUAGUGGUGAAAUACAUAGAGAUGUCAUAGAACACCGAUUGCGAAGGCAGCUAACGAAACUAUAACUGACACUGAGGCUCGAAAGUGUGGGGAUCAAACAGG
rnacentral:rRNA from 1 species